rnacentral:rRNA from 1 species
UACGUAGGGGGCUAGCGUUGUCCGGAUUUAUUGGGCGUAAAGAGCGUGUAGGCGGCCAGGUAGGUCUGCUGUGAAAACUCGAGGCUCAACCUCGAGACGUCGGCGGAAACCAUCUGGCUAGAGUCCGGAAGAGGAGAGUGGAAUUCCUGGUGUAGCGGUGAAAUGCGUAGAUAUCGUAAGGAAGACCAGUGGCGAAGGCGGGUCUCUGGACAGUUCCUGACGCUGAGGCACGAAGGCCAGGGGAGCAAACGGG